rnacentral:rRNA from 1 species
AGAUUGAACGCUGGCGGCAUGCCUUACACAUGCAAGUCGAACGGUAGAGUAGCAAUACUUGAGAGUGGCGAACGGGUGAGUAAUAUAUCGGAACGUGCCCAGUCGUGGGGGAUAACGUAGAGAAAUUUACGCUAAUACCGCAUACGAUCUAAGGAUGAAAGCGGGGGACCGUAAGGCCUCGCGCGAUUGGAGCGGCUGAUAUCAGAUUAGGUUGUUGGUGAGGUAAAAGCUCACCAAGCCGACGAUCUGUAGCUGGUUUGAGAGAACGACCAGCCACACUGGGACUGAGACACGGCCCAGACUCCUACGGGAGGCAGCAGUGGGGAAUUUGGACAAGUGGGCGAAAGCCUGAUCCAGCAAUGCCGCGUGCAGGAAGAAGGCCUUGGUGUAACUGUCUUUGUACGGAA